AUGGACACGGGCGAGAUCUUCAACCCAGGCUGCGGCGGGCCGGGCGGCGCCGGCUGCGACUGCGAGGACCGCGAGGAGUGGGGGCGCUACUGCUACUGGAAUCACGACCACGGCGACGGCCGCCCCAUGCAGUUCCUCCUCUUCGCCUCCGACGACAAAGAUCAACUGUGCAUACCAUGGGAGGUCUCAAGCAAGCUGAGAGAUAUGAUCCCCGACUCCGAGCCUAUCAAACUUGAAACUCCUGAUGGUCGCACGUACAGUGUUAAAUUCGUCAAGUUCGGCCAGAUAACUCUUACGACCGGGUGGCGGGGAUUUGUGGAUGCAAAUCACAUAGAGGAGAACAACCCCAUGUUGUUUGUGUACCGUGGGAAUUCAACCUUUAAUGUUCACAUAUUCAAUUCGUCCGGCCACGACAAGUCCUUGCCCUGCUCUCGACCACCUUGUGAUCAUCAUGUGCUGAAUGAACAAGUGGUGCCUCAUCCUGGACAUGUUGAUAGCUCAGCCCACUUUGGCUAUACCAUGUUGCCCGGAAGCUCUGUAACCAAGGCACAAGAUGAUAAACUGCUAGAAUGGGCUCAUACCAUCAAGUCUGGAUUUCCUCUUUUUGUGGCAGCCAUGGACGAGAGCAAUGUCAGCUUGAACGACUGCCAUGUUUACAUACCACGGUGUCUUGUGGGACAGUUCAAAGAGGAGGUGGUCAAGAUUGUAGCCCCUGACGGGAGUGAAUACGGUGUUGGCGCAAAGAAGCACAAUGAUGAUCAAAUCGUACUCCAAUCUGGGUGGGACAAGUUUGUGGCUUCUCAGUGCAUACAACAGAAUGACUUGCUCAUUUUCAUAAUUGAGGGGGAAGCUCGCCUCAAAGUUCUUGUCCUUGACCCAAGCGGUAGUGAGAAAACUUUUGACAUGGGAAACUCUUCCAAUGCCCAAGAAAAGCAACCACUCCCACCUACUGUUACUAACCUGAGUUCUGAGGACAAUGAAGUUACUGACCUGAGUUCUGCUUAUGAUGAAGUCGUGGGAAAAGACACUACAACAUCAAGGAGGGAGCAGAGGCCGCUACGAAGCUGUCGUGUAGAAGCUGAGAAGAUGGGUUCAACAUCCUGCCCUUCUACUAAAUCAGGACACAAAGCUGGCAACUCGAAUGAAGCCGGCAUAGAAGCUCCUAUGCCCAACAAGUCCUACAUAGUGCCUAAAUCUGGACGCUCAGCUCGAGCUUUUGGGCUCGGCUCGCGCUCGCUGCAACUCGGCCCGAGCUAG
rnacentral:rRNA from 1 species